rnacentral:rRNA from 1 species
AACGAACGCUGGCGGCAUGCCUAACACAUGCAAGUCGAACGAGGCCUUCGGGUCUAGUGGCGCACGGGUGCGUAACGCGUGGGAACCUGCCCUUAGGUUCGGAAUAACUCCCCGAAAGGGGUGCUAAUACCGGAUAAUGUCUUCGGACCAAAGAUUUAUCGCCUUUGGAUGGGCCCGCGUUGGAUUAGCUAGUUGGUAGGGUAAAAGCCUACCAAGGCGACGAUCCAUAGCUGGUCUGAGAGGAUGAUCAGCCACACUGGGACUGAGACACGGCCCAGACUCCUACGGGAGGCAGCAGUGGGGAAUAUUGGACAAUGGGCGAAAGCCUGAUCCAGCAAUGCCGCGUGAGUGAUGAAGGCCUUAGGGUUGUAAAGCUCUUUUACCCGGGAUGAUAAUGACAGUACCGGGAGAAUAAGCUCCGGCUAACUCCG